UACGAAGGGGGCUAGCGUUGUUCGGAUUUACUGGGCGUAAAGCGCACGUAGGCGGUUUUGUUAAGUCAGAGGUGAAAUCCCGGAGCUCAACUCCGGAACUGCCUUUGAUACUGGCAAGCUAGAGUCCGGAAGAGGUGAGUGGAACUCCUAGUGUAGAGGUGGAAUUCGUAGAUAUUAGGGAAGAACACCAGUGGCGAAGGCGGCUCACUGGCUCGUAACUGACGCUCAGGCGCGACAGCGUGGGGAUCAA
rnacentral:rRNA from 1 species